rnacentral:rRNA from 1 species
AUUGAACGCUGGCGGCAGGCCUAACACAUGCAAGUCGAGCGAGCGGCGGACGGGUGAGUAAUGUAUGGGGAACUGCCUGAUGGAGGGGGAUAACUACUGGAAACGGUAGCUAAUACCGCAUACUAUCAGAUGAACCCAUAUGGGAUUAGCUAGUAGGUGGGGUAACGGCUCACCUAGGCGACGAUCUCUAGCUGGUCUGAGAGGAUGACCAGCCACACUGGAACUGAGACACGGCCCAGACUCCUACGGGAGGCAGCAGUGGGGAAUAUUGCACAAUGGGCGCAAGCCUGAUGCAGCCAUGCCGCGUGUGUGAAGAAGGCCUUCGGGUUGUAAAGUACUUUCAGCGGGGAGGCGUUACCCGCAGAAGAAGCACCGGCUAACUCCGUGCCAGCAGCCGCGGUAAUAC